GACGAACGCUGGCGGCGUGCUUAACACAUGCAAGUCGAGCGGUAAGGCUCCUUCUGGGUUACACGCGCGGCUAACGGGCGAGUAACACGUGAGUAAUCUGCCCUUCCCUUCGGUAUAACUACCUUAAACGGAGUCUAAUACCGACUACGUCCAGUCUCCGCCUGAGUUGUGGGGGGAAGGUCUUUUCGGUGAAGGGUGUGCUCGCGGCAUAUGAGCUGGUUGGUGGGGUGGUGGCGUUCUAAGACUUCGACGGGUAGCCGGCCUGCGAGGGUGGACGGCGACACUGGGACUGUGGCACGGCCCAGACUCCUACGGGAGGCAGCAGUGGGGAAUGUUGGACAAUGGGCGAAAGCCUGAGCCGGCAACGGCGCGUGAGGGAUGACGGCCAUCGGGUUGUAAGCCUCGUACAGCACCGACGAAGCGCCCUGACGGGUGGUGACGGUAGGUACAGAAGAAGGACCGGCCAACUACGUG
rnacentral:rRNA from 1 species